rnacentral:rRNA from 1 species
GAUGAACGCUAGCUACAGGCUUAACACAUGCAAGUCGAGGGGAAACGGCAUCGAAAGCUUGCUUUUGAUGGGCGUCGACCGGCGCACGGGUGAGUAACGCGUAUCCAACCUGCCCAUCACUUGGGAAUAACCUUGCGAAAGUAAGACUAAUGCCCAAUGACAUCCCACGAAGGCAUCCGAAUGGGAUUAAAGAUUUAUCGGUGAUGGAUGGGGAUGCGUCUGAUUAGCUUGUUGGCGGGGUGACGGCCCACCAAGGCAACGAUCAGUAGGGGUUCUGAGAGGAAGGUCCCCCACAUUGGAACUGAGACACGGUCCAAACUCCUACGGGAGGCAGCAGUGAGGAAUAUUGGGCAAUGGGCGAGAGCCUGAACCAGCCAAGUAGCGUGCAGGAUGACGGCCCUAUGGGUUGUAAACUGCUUUUAUAAGGGAAUAAAGUGGGUCACGUGUGACUUUUUGCAUGUACCUUAUGAAUAAGGACCGGCUAAUUCCGUG